GCAUUAGCUCUCCACCUAAUACUACUGUAACUAGCGGUGCAAUUAAUGGGAAAAAGUUGAACGUUUGUGAGGUUGUAUCCGCUAUUGAUAUAGUCCGACAGUGACAGAAAUCUGCACAUACAUUGAACGCUGUGAUAAAAGCUCCAAUGAUGAAAUCUAUUAAUUACUGUGUGACAAUGGAAAGAAAUACAACAAGGAAGAGAUCAAUUUCAUUUUUAACACAAGAUAGAGAGAAUCAAGAUAGAGAGACUCUGACAGUUGACUGUUAUGAUCAGCCCAAAAAACUUAAACCUGUGUACAGAUGUAGACAUGAUUCUAUUCAGUCAGGAUGAUUUUUUUGAAAGAUGUCACAGUUUCCUUUCAUUACCAGGGCCUUUCAUAGCUGACUAUGCGGUAUGGGAUUUGCACAUUGCUGAAGGCCGUACAGUGACCUAUAGCUGUUGACUUCUAUGUCAUGUGGUCUCUGGUGGAGAGUUGUCUCAUUGAAAAGAAGAUUUUUAUUAGUAACUGGAGACUCUUUAAAUCAGGAAUUUGCCAAUUAUAGUGAAAAUAAUGAUGCUGAACAUUGCUGAAAUAAGACAGAUAAAGACUUUAUACACGACCCAUUGUAAAAUAUGAAUUUUCUGCAUAUUUCAUCACCUCCGGGGUAUAUAUACAAUGCGUAUAUGCACAACCAAGUAUAGAUAUUUUUUUCACAUUUCUGCCAAGUAACAGCAGCUGACGGACGUCUAGUUCUACUCAACAGUGGCUGAGAUGUUGUCAUGGUGACAGAAAAUCGAAAUCCCUCAAUAAGUAACCGAGGAUGUUGUAUAUUGUGAACUAAGAACCUUGGAGAACCGACUAAAUUGUGCCUUUUACAUCAGGUAAAUUCAAUGAACAAGAAAAGAUGGCGGAAAUGGUAAUUAGAUGAAAGGAUUACCUGAAGGAAAACAACAGAUAUUAAUUGUACUAAAGGUGUUGAAAUGACAAGUGACACAUAUUUUUACAGACAGGACAUCUACAAUGUAUGUAAAAAAUUUGAAGUAUAAUAAAAUUUAAAUAGACCAAAACUUAACUCCAUCUUGAAUAACUUUGUUAAGACAGCAUCAUAUGUGAGUAAGCCCUUCAGUUUUAUUUUUUUCUCUGAAAUCUCCCCCUCCAAAAAAUCCCACAAAAAACUUGUUUUUGACAAGAACUUUUUCUAGGUGAAUAAAUAAACACACAAACAAAACUUCUUGUACAAAAAAUUUAACAGGCUACUUUGGUUUGAAGAAAUUUGAUCUUGAAGUUUCAGAGAAGAAAAAUCUGAAUACUGAUCAAAGCUGAGAUUUGCAUCUUACAACCAUGUUUUUUUUUAUUGGACAUGAAAUUAAUCAGGAAAUUAUAUGGUGACCAACUAGCUGGGUUGUUGUUUAACCUCCAGUUGCAGAUAUUACAUGCAAAUCAUGAUAGAACAUGUAACUGUGAUAUGAAUAUGAACCCAGAUUUGUACUACAUGUACAUGUAGAUCAGAACACUGAGCAGGAUUUUCUACAUGUAUGCUACAACAACGUUAAUUUAGCUCAUAAGGUAACAGUGGCUAGAAAGACAUGUCUAUAAUAAUUCCAUUAAUUACCAAGAAGUGCUGUCAAGCAUGUCAAGCCCAGGAUCAUGAAAACAUCCUACUUAAAAAUAAAAAAAAAUUCAGGUCUGUUUAAAACCCAAAUAAACAUGAUAAAGGCUGCCUUUUCAUUGGCAGUUAUGUUUUACUCAAAAAUGCAUGUUUAGUAUGUGGAUAAGUCGUUCUUUUUUUUUCUUGUGUAUCUUAUAUCAAUCAAUAAAUUUUAAGAAAUUUA